CCCUUGAAUCCCUUGUCUCCCUUUUCUCUCAGAAACUCGCCCAAACUCUAGCACCGUCACCUAAAAUCUACCCUAAACUCCUUCGAUUCCUAACUAUUUCAUGAGAUUCCAUGGUGGUUUUAGGCCUCUACCAGCCUCUUACCUCUCUUGAUUCUUCGACCCUAUUCUUGCAUGAAAGAGUAUUGAAAAGAUUAGGUUCAAAGAUUGUUCAAAGGUCUAGCUAUGGCUAUUAUCGUUUGUGAGUGCUAUUUUCUUCCUAUUUUCAGUUUGAAUAUAUGACUUUGGACCAAGUCUCUAUCACCUUUGCUAUUUAAAAUACCCUAAUCUCAUGACUAAUUGGAUCUGUUCAGAUCAUUGUAGAUCUGAAAUGUUCUGAACAUUAUUUGGUAUUUUCUUUGGAAAAAACUUUCUAUUUCCU
rnacentral:lncRNA from 1 species